UACGUAGGGUGCGAGCGUUACUCGGAAUUACUGGGCGUAAAGCGUGCGUAGACGGUUAUGUAAGUCAGGUGUGAAAGCCCCGGGCUCAACCUGGGAAUUGCAUUUGAGACUGCAUAGCUAGGGUGCGGAAGAGGGAAGCGGAAUUUCCGGUGUAGCGGUGAAAUGCGUAGAUAUCGGAAGGAACAUCAGUGGCGAAAGCGGCUUCCCGGUCCAGCACCGACGUUCAGGCACGAAAGCGUGGGGAGCAAACAGG
rnacentral:rRNA from 1 species